rnacentral:rRNA from 1 species
CUACGGGCGGCUGCAGUGGGGAAUAUUGGACAAUGGGGGAAACCCUGAUCCAGCAAUGCCGCGUGUGUGAAGAAGGCCUGCGGGUUGUAAAGCACUUUCGGUUGGGAGGACUGCUUCUAGCACUAAUAUUGUUGGAAGUUGACGUUACCUUCAGAAGAAGCACCGGCUAACUCCGUGCCAGCAGCCGCGGUAAUACGGAGGGUGCAUGCGUUAAUCGGAAUUACUGGGCGUAAAGCGCGCGUAGGCGGCUAGCUCAGUCGGGUGUGAAAGCCCCGGGCUUAACCUGGGAACUGCAUCCGAUACUGUCUAGCAUGAGUACAGGAGAGGAGAGUGGAAUUCCACAUGUAGCGGUGAAAUGCGUAGAUAUGUGGAGGAACACCAAUGGCGAAGGCAGCUCUCUGGCCUGAUACUGACGCUGAGGUGCGAAAGCGUGGGGAGCAAACAGGAUAGAUACCUGGUAGUC